UCCCGCUGCACUAAUCUGGAGGGAAAAUGAGGCUAAUCUCAAUUUUUGCCGCCAACAUACAGAACAAAGAGGUUUGGGCGCCAAACCUCUUAGACCUUUGUUAAUCCAGACGAAAAUACACAAACACGCAAAUCUCACCAUCACCCACAUCAAUCAGGAACAAGAUCCUUGGCAGAAGCACGUCAAACAAAUUCAAUAUCAGGCAAAAGAAGGAAAUUCACAAGGCUAAGGUGCAUCAAUCGGGCAGAAGCAAGGCCACCUAGGGGCUGAAGGAAAGGGGCAUCUUGUUCCCCAUGGCUUCUUCAAGCAUCGAUCCUCAAAUCCAUGAGGACGGUGAUGAAUCUCAGUGACCAAAAGUAUAGUCUUCAUGAUCUCUUUUCGUUGUUCUUUUCCUUGUAGAAUCUACUGAUUAAUUUUCCCUGCUGAUAAAGAUCAAAAAUGCCUUCAUGAUUGUAGAUUGUUAAUUCUUCCUGAUGAAAACAAAAUUGAAAAUGUCGAUCAUGAUCAUAAAACAUCUGUGUUUGCUUCGUAUAGGAUGCUACAGCUUAUGGAUCGGUUAUAAUUAUACUAGCCUUAUGCCUGGUACAUGAAGAAACUGCACAUGUCAAAAUAGAUGCUUAAUACUCAGUUAAUACUCUAGUCAGCAUAUUCUAAUAAAACAGCAGCCCGUGAAUAUUAGUCUACAUUGUUUGAUAAUACUGUUAUGACAUGGGUAAUCUUUUUUUAAUCCUUGUUUCAUAAAUCCAGUCAAAUUACGCAUGGUAAGCACAAUACAACAUAUGUGAAAAUGUGCAUUAACAAAAUUGAAUACUAAUUCAUACAGGAUGUGCAAGAAAAUGUUGCAACAAAUUGUACUGACAACAGGUUACCAAAGAUUGACAUGACAUUUUUAUCGGAAGAGGAGGCCUACUCAUUUUAUAACAAAUAUGCAAAAGCUACUGGUUUUAGCAUCCGAAGAGGGAGUCACCAUAAAGUGAAGAAUACUACUGUAAUACAACAACGGACAUUUACGUGCUCCCGUCAAGGUAUGGGUUGCUUGUAUUUUGUUUUGGUUAUACUACUAUUACUUUUGGUUUCACUAAGAUAAUUACUUUAAUUGACAGGAUUCCGUGCUGAAGAUAGCAGAGAGGAUUCUUUCAGUUACAGUAGGCCCGAAACACGAUGUGGUUGUCAAGCCCAUAUGAAGAUAAGUCUCAAAAAUGGAUUAUAUUAUGUGUACGAAUUUGAGGCAGCACAUAACCAUCCUCUUGCUACUGGAGACAUGGCCCUAUACUUAAGAUCCCAAAGGAAAGUCACAGAAGAACAAAUAGCAAACACUGAAGUCGCAAAGUCUGUGGGCAUUUCAAAUAAAGCAACUAUAGAUCUUAUGGCCAAAGAAGCAUGUGGACUUCCAAAUCUUGGGUUUGCACCCGAAGAUAUGAAAAAUCGUUUGUACUCUAAGAGAACACUGCAAGCAAAGAAAGGAGACACAUGGGGGGUGUUAGAAUACAUGGAGAAGAAGGUAAAAGAAGAUGCCAAUUUUUUCUAUUCAAUUCAAGUUGAUGAGGAUGAUCUGAUAACUAAUAUUUUCUGAGCUGAUUCGAAAAUUAUAUCAGACUAUGCAAUGUUUGGUGAUGUUAUAUGCUUUGACACCACAUAUAGGAAACUAGAUGAUGGGCGUCCCUUUGGUUUGAUUGUUGGGGUGAAUAAUCACAAGAAAACCAUGGUCUUUGGUGCUACACUUCUCUAUGAUGAAACUGCUGAAAGUUUUGGUUGGCUUUUUAGAACAUUUCUAACAGCUAUGUCUGGGAAACAUCCAAGGACUAUUCUGACCGAUGAAGAUGCAGCAAUGGCCAAGGCAACCAGUAAAGUCCUUCCUCAGUCUCACCAUAGACUUUGUGUGUGGCAUAUGAAUCAAAAUGCUUGCAAGCACCUUGCUGGGGUUGUUGAAGAAUAUAAGAAGUUCAAUGCCGAUUUCCAGCAUUAUAUCUAUGAUAUUGAGGAAGAAGACGACUUUAUAAAUGAAUGGAAUAGAAUGCUAGACAGGUAUGGACUCCGUGACAAUAUGUGGCUGCAAAGGCUGUUUGAAAAAAGGGAGCAAUGGGCACUAGUGUAUGGCAAAAAUACAUUCUCAGCCCACAUGAGCACUACCCAAAGAAGUGAAAGCAUGAAUAAUGAACUAAAGCGGUACAUUAGUAUUAAAUAUGACAUGCUUACUUUUUUUGAGCAUUUUGGGCGUCUGGUUGCGGAUAAAAGAUUUGUAGAGGUGAAGUGUGACUUCAAGGCGUCACAAACUACUCCCAAGCUGAAGGCAGAAGGUAGCUAUGUGUUAAGGCAAGCCGCAACUACAUAUACUCCCGCAAUAUUCAAGAUGUUUCAGGAGCAAGUAAUUCGGACCCUGAACUAUGACACAUUUCUUUGUGAUUCAAGUGAUAAAGAGAAGAAGGUUUACACAGUAAAAUUUCAUGGAACGCAGCGCGAGCAUGUUGUCAGUUUUUAUCCAAACGAAGAAAAGGUCAAUUGCAGUUGCAAGAAGUUUGAAUUUGCUGGAAUCCUCUGCUCUCAUUGCUUAAAGAUACUUGAUAUUAAUAAUAUCAAGCAUAUCCCUGAACACUAUAUACUGAAAAGAUGGACAAUUGAUGCGAAAGUGCUAGAGAUAACAAGCAAUCGCAAUCUGCAUGAAGAUCUAAAAGCAAGAAUGUCGAACUUUUACAAGGACUUGUGCAGAAUGUUUAUCCAUAUAGCUGCUCGCGCCGCAGAGUCCGAUGAAACAUAUGAUAUGGCUGCUAAAUGUGCAGAGCAGCUAGCACGAGAUGUGGAGCAAAGCUUGAAAAUUAGAGUUGAUCCAGACCCAAAUCCAGAUUUGGGUGACUCCUCUGUUUCGCAAGGUAUAUAGUUAUAUACUAUACUACUAGUUGCAUAGAGUAUAUUCAAAGACUUACAUUUAACUAUAUGGUUGCAGGUCCGAACAUCGACUCUACUAGAGUUUCAAAGCAUAACGAGGGGCUUCACAUGCCAAGAGGUAUAAAGGUCAAGGAGAAGACUGUACGAGGAUCAGUGAGACCCGUUGGUGGCUUGGAGAAAGCAAAAACAACGAAGAAAAAGAAGAUAGAUGAUUCUUUACGACUACAACCUGAAAUGCCUUUCACAAAUCAAAUGCCUACGUAUAACCCAAUCUUAAUGGUAUAAGAAGUCAAAGCUUUUUGACUUUAUCUCCUUUUUAAACUUGAACCACACUAAGUUUUGUUGUUAAUCUUCAUAGGGUCAAUUCAGAGAAAAUAUUGUACCAGGAUCAGCAAGACCCAUUGGUGGCUUGGAGAAAGCAAAAACAAAGAAGAAAAAGAAGACAGUCAAUUCUUUACAAGAACGACCUGAAAUGCCUUUGACAAACCAAAUGCCUGGGUAUUUACCACAGUACAAUCCAACCCAAAUGGUAUAAGAAGUUUAAUUAUUAAACUAUUUCCCAUUUUCAAUCACCUGUGACCUAAGCUUUGCUAUUUAUCUGCGUAGGUUCAACUGGGAGCUCUGCCAAGUCAUGCUUACCCCUAUUUAGCACAUUACAACUCAAGUCUGCAACAAUCCAUUGGUCUGUCGACCCCUACGAUGAUGCCAGGACAAAAUAUAUUAUUCUUCCAACAACAGACUCCUACCAGUGGUACUUCUACCCCUAUGAUAAUGGCAGGACAGAAUCUACCAUUCUUCCAACAACAGAAUCCUACCAUUGGUACCUGUAGCCCUACGAUGAUGCCAGGACAGAAUCUAUCAUUCUUUCAAUAGCAGACUCCUACCAGUGGUACUUCUACCCCUAUGAUGAUGCCCGGACAGAAUCUAUCAUUUCUCCAGCAACAAAAUCCUACCGUGGUACCUCUACCCCGGUGAUGAUCCCAGGACAAAAUCUACCAUUCUCCCAACAACAAAAGCCAGCUUAAUCAAUGUUAUAGAUUUUUAUUUCAUGUACUUCUGUGCAAUUCUAUUAGAACCUAUGAGUAUACGACCAUGGAUUGAAGGAGACUAUCUAUAUCAAUCAGCAAUUAACUGAAUAAGCAAUUUGUGACUGUGAUAAAUAUAAAAAUAGUCUUAUUUGUCUUGUAUUGAAUAGGCUUGGUUAGCAUCAGGUACAAACUGUACUAUUACCAACAUCAUAGAUUAGUUUGUCUAACCUGACAAACAGACCAUUAGUCGAUCACUAUGGUAAUGGAGCGCCACUGUCACCUGGAUGAGGAUGAGCCAAACCAUACGACUUUGCAUGCAUCGAUCUAAGGAGUAGUUUGUUCACUUAGUUGAACCUCUUUCUGGCAUCAUCUUGUAUGCAAAUAUCACCAUCAGUAGCUAAUUAACUUUCAGUUUAUUUUCAACCAGUAAACGACACCAUCAGCAUUUUGUGCAAUGCAAGAUAUUCCCAUGUCCGAAUCCACUGUGUUUGAACUAUGUAUUUUGUUGCCUCAAAAAUUAAACAUCUUUAAAAAUAUAUAAAAUUGAGCACCUUCGUUACGCAGCAAAACAGUGAUAGAAAGGAAUUAUCAACUAAAACUGAGCUAACUAGGUAUCCAGGACAUUUAGAAACUAAUUUCGGUCUAUAAUUUUGCACUCACAUAAUUUGAGCUUUUAACGAAUCACUUUAUGGAACAAAUUAAUUUGCAAGGCCCCGAUGUGCAUGUGUGCUUAAUUGGUACUCCCUCCGUAAACUAAUAUAAGAGCGUUUAGAUAACUAAAAUAGUGAUCUAAACGCUCUUAUAUUAGUUUACAGAGGGAGUACUAGCUAGCUGUUGACUUGCUCGGAUGUGAACUGAAGGGAAAAGAAACCAGAGGAGACAUCUGUAUUCUGCACAAAACAGUAGAGAGGAGGAUGGAAGGGAGCGAGGGUGAGUUGCCGUACUGACCAUGGCGCUAGUAGGCUAGGUCGGCAGCCGAAUGGCCGGUGUCGGGCCCGUGAAGACCCGCUGGAUGGCGGCCGCCCUCGUCGCUCGCCGCGGCCUCUGCCCUGCCACCGCCCGUGGUCUUCAGUGGCGGCACAACAGCCACCACCACCUCCACUAUCCCGACCCGAGCUCCACCAUGGCUGCCCCCAUCGCAGGCAACUCCAAGACCUGGCCCUUCCGCGAGGACGAAUCAAGAGGAGGAGCCGGUCUUGCGGCGGGAGAAGCCGAAAUCUGGGACGAGCGCGGCGCCAUAACUGCGGACUACGGUGAGACAAGGCAGUGGACACCGACGGACCUCCCGCCGGAGGCCGCGAAGACGCCUUGGGGAGGUAGCCGAUCCACUCGAUGCCUCCGCUCCCCACGGUCGACUGUCGGCGCGAAUACGUAUUGGGGCAAACGGAAAUACGGGAGCUUCGUGAUUUCUUUUUUGCCAGAAAAGACGCACGGGG
rnacentral:lncRNA from 1 species